UGGUGGAGUGAUUUGUCUGGUUAAUUCCGAUAACGAACGAGACUCUGGCCUACUAACUAGUGAUUGGAUCUUCACGUCCGAUCGACUUCUUAGAGGGACAAGCAGUGUUCAGCUGCAUGAAAAGAGCAAUAACA
rnacentral:rRNA from 1 species